GAUGAACGCUGGCGGCGUGCUUAACACAUGCAAGUCGAACGGAAAGGCCCAAGCUUGCUUGGGUACUCGAGUGGCGAACGGGUGAGUAACACGUGGGUGAUCUGCCCUGCACUUCGGGAUAAGCCUGGGAAACUGGGUCUAAUACCGGAUAGGACCACAUUUUGGAUGGUGUGGUGGAAAGAUUUUCGGUGUGGGAUGAGCUCGCGGCCUAUCAGCUUGUUGGUGGGGUAAUGGCCUACCAAGGCGUCGACGGGUAGCCGGCCUGAGAGGGUGUACGGCCACAGUGGGACUGAGAUACGGCCCAGACUCCUACGGGAGGCAGCAGUGGGGAAUAUUGCACAAUGGGCGUAAGCCUGAUGCAGCGGCGCCGCGUGGGGGAUGACGGCCUUCGGGUUGGAAACUCCUUUCGCUAGGGACGAAGCGUUAUGUGACGGUACCUGGAGAAGAAGCACCGGCUAACUACGUG
rnacentral:rRNA from 1 species